AGAGUUUGAUCAUGGCUCAGAGUGAACGCUGGCGGCAGGCCUAACACAUGCAAGUCGAGCGGCAGCGCGGGGGCAACCCUGGCGGCGAGCGGCGGACGGGUGAGGAAUGCAUCGGAAUCUACCUCGUUGUGGGGGAUAACCUCGGGAAACCGGGACUAAUACCGCAUACGACCUACGGGUGAAAGUGGGGGACCUUCGGGCCUCACGCGAUGAGAUGAGCCGAUGCCGGAUUAGCUAGUUGGCGGGGUAAAGGCCCACCAAGGCGACGAUCCGUAGCUGGUCUGAGAGGAUGAUCAGCCACACUGGAACUGAGACACGGUCCAGACUCCUACGGGAGGCAGCAGUGGGGAAUAUUGGACAAUGGGCGCAAGCCUGAUCCAGCCAUGCCGCGUGUGUGAAGAAGGCCUUCGGGUUGUAAAGCACUUUUGUUGGGGAAGAAACCGGCCGGAUUAAUACUUCGGUUGAAUGACGGUACCCAAAGAAUAAGCACCGGCUAACUUCGUGCCAGCAGCCGCGGUAAUACGAAGGGUGCAAGCGUUACUCGGAAUUACUGGGCGUAAAGCGUGCGUAGGCGGUUUGUUAAGUCUGUCGUGAAAGCCCCGGGCUCAACCUGGGAAUGGCGAUGGAUACUGGCAAGCUAGAGUGUGUCAGAGGAUGGUGGAAUUCCCGGUGUAGCGGUGAAAUGCGUAGAGAUCGGGAGGAACACCAGUGGCGAAGGCGGCCAUCUGGGACAC
rnacentral:rRNA from 1 species